rnacentral:rRNA from 1 species
GAUGAACGCUCGCGGGAGGCCUAACACAUGCAAGCCGAGCGGUAUUUGUUCCUCGGAACAGCGAGAGCGGCGCACGGGUGCGGAACACGUGUGCAACCUGCCUUUAUCUGGGGGAUAGCCUUUCGAAAGGAAGAUUAAUACCCCAUAAUAUAUUGAGUGGCAUCAUUUGAUAUUGAAAACUCCGGUGGAUAGAGAUGGGCACGCGCAAGAUUAGAUAGUUGGUGAGGUAACGGCUCACCAAGUCAAUGAUCUUUAGGGGGCCUGAGAGGGUGAUCCCCCACACUGGUACUGAGACACGGACCAGACUCCUACGGGAGGCAGCAGUGAGGAAUAUUGGACAAUGGGUUAGCGCCUGAUCCAGCCAUCCCGCGUGAAGGACGACGGCCCUAUGGGUGGUAAACUUCUUUUGUAUAGGGAUAAACCUACUCUCGUGAGAGUAGCUGAAGGUACUAUACGAAUAAGCACCGGCUAACUCCGUG